rnacentral:rRNA from 1 species
UUUCCCGGGGGGGGCCUAUACAUGCAAGUCGAGCGGACAGAAGGGAGCUUGCUCCCGGAUGUUAGCGGCGGACGGGUGAGUAACACGUGGGUAACCUGCCUGUAAGACUGGGAUAACUCCGGGAAACCGGAGCUAAUACCGGAUAGUUCCUUGAACCGCAUGGUUCAAGGAUGAAAGACGGUUUCGGCUGUCACUUACAGAUGGACCCGCGGCGCAUUAGCUAGUUGGUGAGGUAACGGCUCACCAAGGCGACGAUGCGUAGCCGACCUGAGAGGGUGAUCGGCCACACUGGGACUGAGACACGGCCCAGACUCCUACGGGAGGCAGCAGUAGGGAAUCUUCCGCAAUGGACGAAAGUCUGACGGAGCAACGCCGCGUGAGUGAUGAAGGUUUUCGGAUCGUAAAGCUCUGUUGUUAGGGAAGAACAAGUGCAAGAGUAACUGCUUGCACCUUGACGGUACCUAACCAGAAAGCCACGGCUAACUACGUGCCAGCAGCCGCGGUAAUACGUAGGUGGCAAGCGUUGUCCGGAAUUAUUGGGCGUAAAGGGCUCGCAGGCGGUUUCUUAAGUCUGAUGUGAAAGCCCCCGGCUCAACCGGGGAGGGUCAUUGGAAACUGGGAAACUUGAGUGCAGAAGAGGAGAGUGGAAUUCCACGUGUAGCGGUGAAAUGCGUAGAGAUGUGGAGGAACACCAGUGGCGAAGGCGACUCUCUGGUCUGUAACUGACGCUGAGGAGCGAAAGCGUGGGGAGCGAACAGGAUUAGAUACCCUGGUAGUCCACGCCGUAAACGAUGAGUGCUAAGUGUUAGGGGGUUUCCGCCCCUUAGUGCUGCAGCUAACGCAUUAAGCACUCCGCCUGGGGAGUACGGUCGCAAGACUGAAACUCAAAGGAAUUGACGGGGGCCCGCACAAGCGGUGGAGCAUGUGGUUUAAUUCGAAGCAACGCGAAGAACCUUACCAGGUCUUGACAUCCUCUGACAACCCUAGAGAUAGGGCUUUCCCUUCGGGGACAGAGUGACAGGUGGUGCAUGGUUGUCGUCAGCUCGUGUCGUGAGAUGUUGGGUUAAGUCCCGCAACGAGCGCAACCCUUGAUCUUAGUUGCCAGCAUUCAGUUGGGCCCUCUAAGGUGACUGCCGGUGAACAACCGGAGGAAGGGGGGGAUGACGUCAAAUCCUCCUGCCCCUUUAGACCGGGGCUAACCCCGGGCUAAAAGGGAAAAAAAAAAGGGCUGCCAAACCCCAGGGUUUACCCCAUCCCCCAAAAUUUGUUUCCAA